AAUUCGGAUAUUUGAAUAAACGUAAAUUUCGAAUAAGAUUAAUCAAUAGUACGACCAAAGCGAAAGAUGAGCGUCGCGACGGUAGUAAGCACUGCAAUAAAAGCAGCCACUGUCCUUCUUGGCGGCGGUAUCGGUAAAAUAACUAUAAUCCCAGUGUUGAUCGUCGCGCUCGCGUAUUUCAAUUACGAUCUCAUGGACCCGGAAAAUCAUCCACGCGUGACGAAACAAUUAAAGAAAGAUUAUGACUUUGUUAUUGUCGGCGGUGGUUCAGCUGGCAGCGUGCUAGCCAACAGAUUAACGGAAAAUCCUGAAUGGAGCGUGCUUCUACUAGAGGCCGGAGGGCACGAAACCGAGAUAACUGAUGUCCCAAUACUCUCAUUAUUUUUGCAUAAGAGUAAGCUGGACUAUAAGUAUCGCACGCAGCCGCAGGAUACGGCUUGCCAGGCGAUGGUCGAUCGUCGAUGUUGCUGGACUAGAGGCAAGGUUCUCGGAGGCUCUAGCGUUUUAAACACAAUGCUUUAUAUUCGCGGAAAUCGACGAUUUUGACCAAUGGAAGAGUUUUGGUAAUCCUGGCUGGGGAUAUGAAGAUGUAUUGCCGUAUUUUAAAAAGUCUCAAGACCAAAGAAAUCCAUAUUUGGCACGUAAUAUAAGAUAUCACGGUACAGGUGGAUACUUGACCGUACAAGAUAGUCCAUAUAUCACUCCGUUGGGCGUAGCCUUUUUACAAGCUGGAGAAGAAAUGGGAUACGAUAUUUGUGAUGUCAACGGCCAGCAGCAAACUGGUUUCGCCUUCUUACAGUUCACAAUGAGACGGGGCUCUAGAUGCAGCACCGCCAAGGCAUUUGUACGACCCAUUCAACUUAGAAAAAAUUUUCAUCUCUCUUUGUGGAGCCAUGUAACUCGAGUGCUGAUAGAUCCGGAGAGUAGAAGAGCGUAUGGAGUAGAAUUUAUUAGAGAUGGUCGUAAGGAGGUGGUGCUUGCCAGAAAAGAAGUAAUUCUCUCAGCCGGUGCCAUUAAUAGCCCACAAUUAUUAAUGCUUUCCGGAAUAGGGCCGCGUAUACACUUAGAGCAAUUAGGAAUUCCCGUGAUUGAAGAUUUACCCGGUGUUGGGCAGAAUCUGCAAGAUCAUAUAGCUGUUGGUGGAAUUAUUUUCCCAAUCGAUUACAAAGUCAGCAUGUUGUGGAAUCGAAUGGUGAAUAUUAAUUCGGUUUUAAGAUAUGCUAUCACCGAGGAUGGCCCGUUAACGUCCAGCAUUAGCCUUGAGGCGGUUGGCUUUAUCUCCACCAAGUAUGCCAAUCAGAGUGACGAUUGGCCUGACAUCGAAUUUAUGCUGACAUCAUCAAGUGUUAAUUCAGAUGAUGGAAACUUUAUAAAAAACGCUCAUGGUUUAACCGAUGAAUUUUAUAAUUACAUGUUUAGUGAAAUAAGAAAUCAAGACGUUUUUGGAGUAUUUCCAAUGAUACUCAGGCCCAAGUCACGCGGUUACAUAAGACUAAAAUCCAAGAAUCCUUUAGAUUAUCCAUUGCUCUAUCAUAACUAUCUAACUCAUCCAGACGAUGUCGCAGUACUUCGUGAGGGUCAUCCUCUUAAGGCGGCUGUUGCCUUUGGCGAGACUAGUAGUAUGAGAAGAUUUGGUUCAAGAUUUUAUGACAAACCGUUACCCAAUUGUAAGCAUAUUCGUCUCUAUACGGACGAAUACUGGAAUUGUGCAAUAAGGCAAUACACCAUAACGAUUUAUCAUAUGAGCUGCACCGCCAAGAUGGGUCCGCCCGAUGAUCCAAUGGCGGUUGUAAAUCCAGAGUUGAAAGUUUACGGAGUCGACGGCUUACGGGUGAUUGACGCAUCUAUCAUGCCGACCAUCACGAGUGGUAAUAUAAACGCGCCUGUCAUUAUGAUCGGUGAGAAGGGCGCUGAUAUGAUAAAGGCAAGAUGGAUUAAACGACGCGGACGUCGCGUUGUUCUUGGAAUUAAAAUAUUUUCAUCUUCCAAAAAUCGUUUAUAUGGUCCUCUUUUCAUAUUUUUAACGUACGCAAAAUUAACUUUGAAACAACAAUUACACACGGACGACGAGACAUAAGGCCUGUUCUUUUUAGCUGAACUGGCUGCACUAAUUCAGUUUAUCUUUCUUCUUUUAACGUGGAGGGAAGAAGAUAAACUGUGAACUAGUGCAGUCAGUUCAGCUAAAAAGAACAGGCUUACAAUUACAAUUUUACAAAUGUGAGCGGGAGACAAAGCAAUGCAGCUGAGAAAGAAAAAUCAAAAUAUCGCUCGUACACCAGCAAAUACAGAUGCAAGGAUAUAAUUCGGACCAAUGAGCGUUUAGCAUUGGACCGCCAAUUUGAAAAUCGGACCAAUCCCAACUAGUGAUAGAAUUUCGCGCCCGAAAACAUAUGCAGCACGCAUGUAGCACCGGCCACGCCGCACACAACACGCUCGCAUGGCGCGCACUGAACCUAACCAAGCGUGUGUCAUAUAUAGAUAGAGCAUUUCAACGUGCGUACGUGCAUGUGUGUGUAGCGUGCUACGUGAUUUCGGACUUGUAUUCACAUCUCGAUCCGCGCCUUGCAAGAGAUUUCGUGUUAGUUUUACGUUUCUUCGUUCUAGUGAACGACAAACAA